AUUUAUACCAUUGCCUGGCAGCAACAGCCUUGAUGAUGCUGGAGACCCUUCCAGCAUCCUUGUGUGCCUGUGUUCCUAGUCACACCAUCUCAGCUCCUUGUGUGACUACACAACACUUUUGCGCUUUGGAGACGAAAUGCAGGGAUAGAAACAGAGACAAACUUGGACGUUUUGCUGAUUUGAAGAUUGAAGGACUGAUAGAUGAACCUGGGCAAGUUAACAGACCUGUUGAAAAUGAGAAAGGAAAAGCAGAAGGAAAAAGAUUUAAGACUAUAACAAGGAAUAUUUUUAACUUGAUGAAUACGCUGCAAUUGCUACAAUGAGGCCCUGGUUGAAGCUGUAAUUUCUACAUGCCAUUGUACUACAAUAUUGUCAUAAUUUCAGAGAUUUAUGGGAGUGAUGAGGGGGAAUUCCCACACGGUCAUUGUGGAAGAAAACUGGUUUUGGAAAAAAAAGAUACUGAAAUGUGCAAGACGCCGAAGGCCAUGUGCUAAUUUUUUAAACAAAACCAUCUUGUUCAACAAUCAGGCAGAGUUAAUAACCAAAAGUGCAGUCCAUCAAGCCUCUUAUAUAUGGGAGGACACCUCUGAUUCUCUGGGCUCAUUCAUUUUAGCAUUAGACUAGCUUGUUUAAUACAGGAACCUCCACCUGAAGGACUUAACAUCUGAUCAUGGUAUUAAAACUGGCUGCAGCUGGGUAGAAAUAAAACAUUAAAAAAAAUGGAAGGAAAAAAAAGAAA